UUGUGGCUGAAAUCACUGUUGC
rnacentral:miRNA from 1 species